CAUGCAGGCGGUCUGGCGCGUUUUGUGUGACAGCGGGUGGCUCAACUACCCGAGCAUGCGAAAGACGGUUGGACUUGAGGGCUCGAGAGGGACACGGAAUUCCGGGUGGAGUGGUGAAAUGCGUAGAGAUCCGGAGGAACACCGAAGGCGAAGGCAGUGUCCUGGCGAGUGACUGACGCUGAGGUGCGAAAGCCAGGGGAGCGAACGGGAUUAGAUACCCCGGUAGUCCUGGCCGUAAACGAUGACCACCAGGUGUGGGAGGUAUCGACCCCUUCUGUGCCAAAGGGAACCCAUUAAGUGGUCCGCCUGGGGAGUACGGUCGCAAGAUUAAA
rnacentral:rRNA from 1 species